rnacentral:rRNA from 1 species
AACGAACGCUGGCGGCAGGCUUAACACAUGCAAGUCGAGCGCCCCGCAAGGGGAGCGGCAGACGGGUGAGUAACGCGUGGGAACGUACCCUUUACUACGGAAUAGGUACGGGAAACUGGAAUUAAUACCGUAUGUGCCCUUCGGGGGAAAGAUUUAUCGGUAAAGGAGCGGCCCGCGUUGGAUUAGCUAGUUGGUGGGGUAAUGGCCUACCAAGGCGACGAUCCAUCGCUGGUCUGGGAGGAUGAUCAGCCACAUUGGGACUGAGACACGGCCCAACCUUCUACGGGAGGCAGCAGUGGCGAAUAGUGGACAAUGGGCGCAAGCCUGAUCCAGCCAUGCCGCGUGUGUGAUGAAGGCCUUAGGGUUGUAAAGCACAUUCACCGAUGAAGAUAAUGACGGUAGUCGGAGAAGAAGCCCCGGCUAACUUCGUGCCAGCAGCCGCAGUAAUAC